GACGAACGCUGGCGGCGUGCUUAACACAUGCAAGUCGAACGGUGAACUCCGCUUGCGGGGGGAUCAGUGGCGAACGGGUGAGUAACACGUGGGCAACCUGCCCUCAGCUCUGGGAUAACUCCAAGAAAUUGGGGCUAAUACCGGAUAUGACCGCUGACCGCAUGGUCUGGUGGUGGAAAGAUUUAUCGGCUGGGGAUGGGCCCGCGGCCUAUCAGCUUGUUGGUGGGGUAGUGGCCUGCCAAGGCGACGACGGGUAGCCGGCCUGAGAGGGUGACCGGCCACACUGGGACUGAGACACGGCCCAGACUCCUACGGGAGGCAGCAGUGGGGAAUAUUGCGCAAUGGGCGAAAGCCUGACGCAGCGACGCCGCGUGGGGGAUGACGGCCUUCGGGUUGUAAACCUCUUUCAGCAGGGACGAAGCGAAAGUGACGGUACCUGCAGAAGAAGCACCGGCCAACUACGUG
rnacentral:rRNA from 1 species